rnacentral:rRNA from 1 species
AUACGUAGGGUGCGAGCGUUGUCCGGAAUUACUGGGCGUAAAGAGCUCGUAGGUGGUUUGUCGCGUCGUCUGUGAAAUUCCGGGGCUUAACUCCGGGCGUGCAGGCGAUACGGGCAUAACUUGAGUACUGUAGGGGAGACUGGAAUUCCUGGUGUAGCGGUGAAAUGCGCAGAUAUCAGGAGGAACGCCGGUGGCGAAGGCGGGUCUCUGGGCAGUAACUGACGCUGAGGAGCGAAAGCAUGGGUAGCGAACAGGAUUAGAUACCCUGGUAGUCCAUGCCGUAAACGGUGGGCGCUAGGUGUAGGGGUCUUCCACGACUUCUGUGCCGUAGCUAACGCAUUAAGCGCCCCGCCUGGGGAGUACGGCCGCAAGGCUAAAACUCAAAUGAAUUGACGGGG